UGGAAAGCGCCGUUCCUGACUCUAAUGUACUUAGACACUUGAAGCCACAAAAGGAUUUAUCCCCGAGGUUCCUCGUCUGCUCGCGAGGAUGCCUUUUCUCUUCUGCCUUGCGAAAUAACAGCAGCCUAGCUGGUGCCCGUGACCAGGGAGGAAGGCAGCGUCGCGGGCUGAUUACGUUUCACCCAAAGGGUGCCGGCGCCGAAUUGGUUUCUAACGAGAACUUUUAAAAUGAUCCGUUCCAAGAAAGGGUAGGAGCCGCGAGACCCUCCAACUGCCCAGGGAAAACAAGUCUCGUCUGGCAAAGUUCUCGGCCCACGCGGUCCGCGGCCAGGGGCCAACGGUCCCUCGCCCCACGUUGCCGCAGCACUGCGCGUGCGCGAGCCGCUGUCAAACGCGCUGACGGAGGCCGAGAAGAAAAAAAGGCGGGAGCCGCCAAUCCCGGGUUGAGCAAAAUGGCGCGGGAGAAGGAGAUGCAGGAGUUCACCCGUAGCUUUUUCCAAGGCCGCCCGGACCUCAGGUGCCCAGGGGGUUGAAGAUGGGGUUGGAAAGGGCGCGGGUGGGACGGGACUCCGUCCUCACACCAUGUCCCUGCAGCACGCUUACGCAUUCCAUCGUGCGGCGGAGGUACUUGGCUCACUCGGGCCGCAGCCACCUGGAGCCCGAGGAGAAGCAGGCACUGAAGCGGCUGGUGGAGGAGGAGCUGCUGAAGAUGCAGGUGUGCCGGGCCGGAGCCUGGGCCGCGGGAGGCGGAGGCGGGGCUUGCUGCUGAGGAGGAGGGGCCUGACGGGGCGCGGUGAGCGCAGCCUUGGUGCAUA
rnacentral:sRNA from 1 species